rnacentral:lncRNA from 1 species
AAAUUAAGUUUGUUCUUUGUUAUCCGACCCUGUAAUUUGGGAAAUGUGAAUCUUGUACCCAUCUAUUCAGGACUCCUGAAGACAAAGAUGAGCCUUCUGUUUCCAGUGAUCAUGGGCCCCAGAUGAAGCCAGCCUGGGGGUAAUAAACCAGGUGAUAGUUUCACCUUCAGGAAGUCAUUUCUCCUCCCAAGCCUGCUUCCUCAUUAAAAAACAGAACACAGCAAUGAUGUUUGUGACUUACAGUGUGUUGUGACCUACAGUGAAGGAGCGUGCGUGAACACCACCUAGUCAAUGCCUAAUACAGGUUUUGCAAAGUAACUCUGAAAGCAACUUCUGCAGUGAUGUGAAUCUGCCCACGGGGUAUUUUUACCCUGAAUAACAAUAACUCCCCAUAGAACCGAACGGCUCCUUUUGGCAGAGCUCUAUUAUUGUUAUUUGGGACUGACGGCCUGUCAGUCUUUUCUUCCAGAAGCAGAAAUGCUAAUCAGGCCUUCAGCAUGAUGGGACUGAGGACUCACACUCCUGUGCUUUGCUUGGGCCCACGUGGACAACGGUUUUGCUGAAUCUUGUUUUUGGAGGUCCUUCUGGAGAGGCGGCCUGAAAGAAACUCUGGCAAUCAAGAGAAUGUUGUUGUAACCCAGCUUGCUGUACGACAUGGUUCACCAAAUUACAUUAGC